AUUGAACGCUGGCGGCAGGCCUAACACAUGCAAGUCGAGCGAGCGGCGGACGGGUGAGUAAUGUCUGGGGAACUGCCUGAUGGAGGGGGAUAACUACUGGAAACGGUAGCUAAUACCGCAUACUAUCAGAUGUGCCCAUAUGGGAUUAGCUAGUAGGUGGGGUAAUGGCUCACCUAGGCGACGAUCCCUAGCUGGUCUGAGAGGAUGAUCAGCCACACUGGAACUGAGACACGGUCCAGACUCCUACGGGAGGCAGCAGUGGGGAAUAUUGCACAAUGGGCGCAAGCCUGAUGCAGCCAUGCCGCGGGUAUGAAGAAGGCCUUCGGGUUGUAAAGCACUUUCAGCGGGGAGGCGUUACCCACAGAAGAAGCACCGGCUAACUCCGUGCCAGCAGCCGCGGUAAUUC
rnacentral:rRNA from 1 species